rnacentral:rRNA from 1 species
AGUGGCGAACGGGUGAGUAAUAUAUCGGAACGUACCUUAUUGUGGGGGAUAACGCAGCGAAAGCUGUGCUAAUACCGCAUAAUCCCUAAGGGGGAAAGCGGGGGACCGUAAGGCCUCGCGCAAUUAGAGCGGCCGAUACCUGAUUAGCUAGUUGGUGAGGUAAAGGCUCACCAAGGCAACGAUCAGUAGCUGGUCUGAGAGGACGAUCAGCCACACUGGGACUGAGACAAGGCCCAGACUCCUACGGGAGGCAGCAGUGGGGAAUUUUGGACAAUGGGGGCAACCCUGAUCCAGCAAUGCCGCGUGAGUGAAGAAGGCCUUCGGGUUGUAAAGCUCUUUUGUCAGGGAAGAAACAGCAGCUCUAACACAGUUUGCGAAUGACGGUACCUGAAGAAUAAGCACCGGCUAACUACGUGCCAGCAGCCGCGGUAAUACGUAGGGUGCAAGCGUUAAUCGGAAUUACUGGGCGUAAAGCGUGCGCAGGCGGUUAUGUAAGACAGGCGUGAAAUCCCCGGGCUUAACCUGGGAAUUGCGCUUGUGACUGCAUAGCUAGAGUAUGUCAGAGGGGGGUAGAAUUCCACGUGUAGCAGUGAAAUGCGUAGAGAUGUGGAGGAAUACCAAUGGCGAAGGCAGCCCCCUGGGAUAAUACAGACGCUCAUGCACGAAAGCGUGGGGAGCAAACAGGAUUAGAUACCCUGGU